rnacentral:rRNA from 1 species
GAUGAACGCUGGCGGCGUGCUUAACACAUGCAAGUCGAACGAAGCACUUUAUUUGAUUUCCUUCGGGACUGAUUAUUUUGUGACUGAGUGGCGGACGGGUGAGUAACGCGUGGGUAACCUGCCUUGUACAGGGGGAUAACAGUUGGAAACGGCUGCUAAUACCGCAUAAGCGCACGGCAUCGCAUGAUGCAGUGUGAAAAACUCCGGUGGUAUAAGAUGGACCCGCGUUGGAUUAGCUAGUUGGUGAGGUAACGGCCCACCAAGGCGACGAUCCAUAGCCGAGCUGAGAGGGUGACCGGCCACAUUGGGACUGAGACACGGCCCAAACUCCUACGGGAGGCAGCAGUGGGGAAUAUUGCACAAUGGGCGAAAGCCUGAUGCAGCGACGCCGCGUGAGCGAAGAAGUAUUUCGGUAUGUAAAGCUCUAUCAGCAGGGAAGAUAAUGACGGUACCUGACUAAGAAGCACCGGCUAAAUACGUG